rnacentral:rRNA from 1 species
GUCUAUAGCCAUACCCCCCUCCACAUGCCCGAUCUCAUCUGAUCUCUAGAAGACAAGCAGGUUCAGGCCUGGUUAGUACUUGGAUGGGAGACCUUCCCUCCAACCAAUGAUAUAUUUC